AGGGCCAGUGCACUUAGUGUGCUGUUAAUUACCCCACUUCAAGUGAAGCAAAACCCCUGUUAACUUAACAUAAUGGACUCUGUCACCACUUGUUCUCAGUAAAUGGGAUGGUUGUCAACACAAGAGAUACAUAUCUAAGGAUUACUUGGUGAUGUCUUAUGAAAACAGUGCAAGAACAAGUGUAAAUUUUAAUUACGAUAAGAUGGAGAAGAAAUUUGAUUGAUUAAAGCUUGGGAAUCAAUGUAAUUGAUCCAUGUCUAGGAGUCUAAAGGCAGCUCUGGGAAGCUGUACACUGGAUGUAUUAAAGGCCAUGCACACCCUCACAGGUGUUUUCACUUAUUCUGUCUGAUUAGACUGUUCCUCAGGAUUGAGAAUUGAGUGAAAUAACAUUGGAAUUAUGUUAAAACUAAAUGAACCAACAAGAAUGAUUAAAGUGUGAUAAAUGAUAAGAGUGAUAAAACUCAACCACUUGAAGGGCACAGUCACACAUGCAUGAAAUUAGCGAAUUAAAUGAGACAAUUUUGGAGUUAAACUUUGCUGAACUUUGAUGAAAAUUUCGCCUCGGCAGGCAAUGGUCACACCCCGAAUUCAUGUGACCAACAGGUGCAACAAGUCUAAAACGCUGGUCAGAGUGAAGUCAACCAAACAGCAUCUGUGGAUAUGAUCUCCAGUAGGACCAAUUAAGCACAAUUAAGUGAAAACACCUGUGUAGGCACACCACAGGUGUGUAGAGCUUUUAAGAAAUCUGGAUACCUGUAGGCCUUGUGGCCAAUUUGCCAUGAUGGAAAAUUACAUCAAGAAAAUCCCCUUCACCCCAAAAAAUGGUUAAUAGAGGACUUCAAAGUGCUAACAAGCGAAUCACAAACUUUUUGUCAGUGAAGAUCUUACGCAGAGUAACUGCAGGAGAGAGGGAGAGAGUCUGCCCACUAGGCCAGCAUCUCUGGACCUCUGCCAUGAAGAGGCCACUUUCUGGCUCCAGUGGUGUGUGCCGAAAAAUCCCUACUUGAACUCAGCGGACCCUCCAGCUUCAUGAGAAUGCAGUUUCUGGCUAAAGGGUUGCACAUUUGAAUCCAAAUGCUGGCUGGUAGAGGCAACAACAUACACUGAAGUACAAAGAGCAGGAGGCAGCGGCAGCAGCAGGAGGAGGCUGAUGGAGAGGGCCACCUGAACAAACCCAGUGUGGGACCAGGCAGCCAGGACAGCCAGGCCCAGCCAGAUUUAUGACCCUCCACCCCUCUUUUCCCACACAGAGGCCUCUCUCUGGAGCUUCUGGAUGUAUUAGAUCCUGUCUAUUACUUUUUGUCACCUUUGUCUACCUUUCCUUCCGUUCCCUCUCCUGUCACACUUUCACAUUCCUCUUUAUUUAUGUCCAUCUAUCUUCCCCCUUCCUCUAUUUGAAUAUCUUGGUAUCUCUUUCUCUUUGUCUCCCCCUCCCUUUCUCCCAGACAUCCUGGCCAGCUGUUCAUCCAGACAGAGUGUCUACAGCUGUCUGUGCAAAGCUGAGUUGCAGCUCCAGAGACACACUUUCCCAGCAUCCACCGUCUGGAUCUGUUUCUGCCCUGGGGCAGGCCUACUUCCACACUUCCUCAGCAGAAAAAAGUGGGAGCUACAUUAGAAGAAUGUGUCUUUUCAUCAAGACUGGUGCUGCAUGAAUAUUUCAAACAGGCAACAUGAUUCCUCAGUGCCACUCGACACAAAGGAGAGGUCUCCCGGAGAGCGAGCAGAGGUGAAAUCUCAGAUUGGAACUUGGCUUCCAGGCACCACCUGCUCGCAGUGACAGACAGGCAGACAAAGCCUUGGAAAAGGUGCCGUGACAGAGGUUUGGUUAAACCCUAUCUGACCACGUCUGCAUGUAUCAGUGCCAGGAUUGCCACUGGAAUUCACUUUGCUGUGGAAAACCAUAAGUACAAGCCCAGGCAUGUGCUUGCAUUGUUGAUUGUGUGCAUGGAUGGAGAGGAUGGGUGAGCCUGUGGACAUACCAGGCAUUCCAAGUCAGCAAUAAAGCCUAAUUGAAUGUGGGGGAUAAAGUCAGGAUGUGCUGAGUGAUACCUGGGCAGCUAGGACCUAGAAAGUGGGACAGAGGUUUAGGAUGCUUGAGAGGUACUGACACUACUUUAGGUGAAAAGAGGGGAGAGAUUAAGCGAGAGUGACAACUUUGCCCCAUUUUGUGGUCAAACCAACAUUAACUAGGUUGUGCUCCAGUUUUGACUCAGAAAUAGGUAAUUAUGCCCUCAAAAGUGCAGGAUAUAACACACUCUGAAAAGAUGUGAAUUUACCCCAGUUGUUCACUCUCUGCCAAGCAAGUGGAUUGGCUUAAUAAGACUUGAGUGGCUGUGCUCAAUGGUUCUCUAAGUGAAUGUAUAUCAAACAUUUCUGGCAAAUGGUAGUGAUUUUUGUACUGUAUUACUGCCAACACAUUGUCAUAUUGUUAUUAUACAUGUUCAUGGUGGCGACCCUGGAUGUCACGUUGGUAUGAUAUCUCCACAUUUGUUUGGGUUUAGAAACCUUUCCAAUGUGCCGGUUAAAGCACUGGCUAAACACAGACUUUACAGAUCCAAGGCAGAUAGCAGAUACACGUUUACACUUAGUUUUGAAAUGGAGGGAACAAAAUGUUCUUUCAAACCUUCUGCAAAGAAGGAAAUGUCCAAAUGUCUACUCCAAUUGUCCACAACCGUGGUUCCCAACGUUCUAGUCUGUGACCACAUGAAAAGCAAAGUCUACUCACAGUCCUCAACAUAGGUUGGAGCAGUUCAGCCAAAAGAACUUCUCAGACUGCUUCUUUUGAAUUAUUUUAGAAGGCUAAAGAGGUAAAACUAUUCGGUAUUUUGAGAAAACAAGAAGUGUGAUAUUGUACUUUAAGGCAAGUGUCGUCACAGACUGGAUUAGAUUCAGAGAUUUGAGGGGAGGGGAGCAGGAAAGCUUUCAGAACCCUAAAUGUGUACUUCAUUGUGGCAUUAGAAAAAUUGUGUUCAUUAAGUAGAUACUGAGAUGUUUCACCAAUGUGAGUCUGAGGUCAGAA